ensembl:lncRNA
GGUAUCCAGUGAUAAGGCAAGAAUUUGAUGAGUAGCUGUGCAGUUUUUUCCUUUGAAAGCUCCUCACUCAACUUGUCCACCCUUUGGUGAUUAUUUCCUUUGGAAAUAGUUUUCUUAAAAACUACUUGGAUCUUAAGAACUUCACAUGCAGAGGACUGCUUUUGGGGUCCAGGAGUUUGAAACAGAAUAAGAUACUACAUUAGCCAGUGACCUGAAAUAAAAGCAAAUGGAACUCAGAAGAGCUUGCAGGGGUCAGGCAGUCCACGAUCUCCCUUACAGCCAGCUCCGUUUUACCCAGGCCAUUACUAGAAAAUGUCAGUUUGCCUUGUUCUUAAGAACAUCUCCUUAAAAACAUCCUCAAUCCUGCUACCUCAAGAAGCCAACUGUUCUGUUUCUCUCUCUUCUAGUAAGAUUUUUUGCUGGAAGUUAAGGGACUGCUCCUGCACUUCUCAAAGACAUAGCAAAGAUUCCCUGGAAGAAGAGUUUAUAAAACAAGAAAGCCAUAGAGAAGAUGAUGAGAGAGAAAGGGCAGAAGUGGAGCAGAAGAGGGAGAAAACUCACCAGUGAGAUUGCACAGAUGUUCAGCAGGGAAGAGAGCAUUGCCUGGUGGAAGGAAGCAGCUAUUAAAUGGAAAAUAAAUAACUGUCAAGUCAUGGGUUAAAGCAGAGGACUUGUUCAGUUCAUCUUGGUUCAUGCUCAAACUCUCACUAGAGAAGAGUGGUGAGUCAUAUACAGUGGUCCACGCAUGGGAUGCUAACUUCAGGAGACAGUUGCCCAGCCAUGGAAGGUACCUAGGACACUGUGCCUCUUCCCUAAGGAAUCAGACUAGUUGCUGCAUUUAUUGCUUCUGGGCCUGCCAUGGAGAUUUCCUGUCUUCCAAAUUUCCUUUUGCUUAACUGUUUCCUUGUUUUUAACUCACAUUUCUGUCUGCGAGGGGAAUAUAAUGUCCACUUUUUGGAAUGGAAAACUUCAGGAAUUCUUUAGAAUAUAUACAGACAUAUAUUAACCAUCCCUGUACACACAGACAUAUAUGCAAGUAUUGGCGAUCAGUCCCAUAACCACUCCUGUCAAUUUAUUCCAGAAGUUAAGUACUGUCUUUAUGGAACUGCCUGGGAAAUAUAAACAAAUAAAGAGAAUCUCAAUGGCCCUCCAGAUGCCUUCUCAAGGAAUUGUAGCAGUGGGGAGAAACUCUUUACACAGCUGACAAAAUAAAUGAUCCAGGGGUGAGAGAUACACGCUGAGUUCUUACUUACAUCUGGGAGAGUAAUGUGUGCUGUGAGGCCCACACACUGCAUCCCAGUGUCUAUUCUGAGGGUAAAGACUUACAUGGUGUUGGGAUAGCCCUUUGUUUUCUCUCAGGCUGGAGAGAGUAUCUUGGGAAAAGAGAGAACUAAGUCAGGGCAAACCUCCCCUCAGCUUCUUCCAAACUCUUUACAAAACAAGUGGGAAAAUUUUGAAUCACAUUAAGGUAAAAAAUAUUUAGUUGUACAUGGAAAAAAAUGAUUUCUUGUGACCCAUGGAUUUUUUUCCAAUACAGGAGGGAAAAGACUUGAUAACAGCUCUCAGGAGGUUUGAGCAUCUCUGUGGUAAUGUCCCUGAAAAUGUGUAAUGUCAACCAGGAGUGAAAAUCUCUGCAGGGAGGAAGGAAAACACAGUGUCUUUGGUUCACAUCACUCCAUGGAGAGGAGGCUCUUGAUGCACAACGAAGCCCUCAUAUAUGUCAGUGACCGACGGAAAGCUGGAGACUAAAGGGGGUGGAGGAAAAGUGCAUUAAAAUAAUAAAAAAUGUGUUAUGAAAUUUCAGUCAAAUGUAUGUAAAUCUUUAUUAAUUAAAGGACUUCUCAACAUGAUAAUGUGGCCAUGUAUUUCUUGGCAUUUUCACAAAUGAGGAAGCGCAGCUUUCUUCACUGGCAAUUGAUCUGCUUCCCAGUGUUAACAUUAACAUACUUGAGACUUUACAGCUGUUAACUUGAUGACUUUACAAUUGAUAUGAAACAUUUCCCAUACUGUCUUAAUCUUGUAAUCCAGAUUCUGCCACCUUUGGUCAUCGUGCAUGGCAUCAGUUUAAUAAAUAGGGUUGUUAUUCU